CCGUGCUAGAUGGGGAGGUAGCGGUGCCCUAUAACCUGCAAGCCGCUAUAGCAGGAUUUAAGUCCCGCUCUAGGUUUAGGCUUGUAGGGCCUGGCCCGAGCAAGUGGCGUCGAUGGUUGGGUCCUGCGCAACGAAAACCCAUGAACCCUGUCAGAUCCGGGAGGAAGCAGCAGUAAGUGGACAUUUUCGUGUGCCGCAGGGGUGCCUGGCCGGAGUUAACUACUCGGUUACCGCCUAUGGGUUCUAGGUCGAAAGUGGGUGCACGG
rnacentral:SRP_RNA from 1 species